GGGGUGAUAUUACAUUUAUCUGACCACAGAUGUAAUACCAUCUAUGAUCUGACCAAACGUCUUUUAUAUGUAUUGUAAUUUGGAAUUGAAUAUCUUUAUAAUGAAAGAUGUAAAACGGCAAUAAGAAAAAAGUGUUUAAGAUGACACGAUUGUGACGAAUUUAUUGGAAAAGAAGGUGAUAUUAUUGCGACUAUUUACAAGAUGAUGAGCGGGGAAAAUAUUGGAAAAUAUUGAAAUAUAUCUAUAGGUCUGUUUUUUGUUAAUUAAUAUAUGACAAGGUAUAUAUUUUUGAUUAACAAAAUAUAUGAAAAGGGUGGGGUACUUGAUGUCUCAGCUGCUCACCCCUUCCAAAAAAAGUUUGAAGUGGCCCCCCCGAGCUUGUUAUAGAU
rnacentral:lncRNA from 1 species